GGAAACCGGAGCUAAUACCGGAUAAUAUAUUGAACCGCAUGGUUCAAUAGUGAAAGACGGUUUUGCUGUCACUUAUAGAUGGAUCCGCGCCGCAUUAGUUAGUUGGUAAGGUAACGGCUUACCAAGGCAACGAUGCGUAGCCGACCUGAGAGGGUGAUCGGCCACACUGGAACUGAGACACGGUCCAG
rnacentral:rRNA from 1 species